rnacentral:lncRNA from 1 species
CUGCUGCUGAUCCUCCUGGUGGGCAAAACAGGCUGUGGGAAAAGCACCACAGGGAACAGCAUCCUUGGCCAGCCUGUGUUUGAGUGCAAGCUGGGGGCCCAGUCAGUAACCAGGACAUGCCAGGUGGAGACAGGAACAUGGAAUGGGAGGAAAGUCCUGGUGGUCGACACGCUCUCCAUCUUUGAGUCCAAGGUCCAGACUCAAGAGCUGUACAAGAACAUCGGGGACUGCUACCUGCUCUCUGCCCUCGGGCCCCAUGUGCUGCUUCUGGUGAUCCAGCUGGGCGUUUCACUGCUCAGGACACAGUGGCCAUCAGGAAGGUGAAGGAGGUUUUUGGGGCAGGGUCAUGAGACAUGUGGUCAUCCUCUUCACCCACAAAGGGGACUUAGGGAGCCAGGCCCUGGAUGACUAUGUAGCAAACAUGGACAACCUCAGCCUGAAGGACCUGGUGCAGGAAUGUGAGAGAAGGUACUGUGCCUUCAACAACCGGGCUGCCGGGGAGGAGCAGAGGCAGCAGCAGGCAGAGCUCCUGGCUGCGAUCGAGAGGCUGGGGAGGGAGCGAGAGGGCUCCUUCUACAGCAAUAACCUCUUCCUGGAUGCCCAGCUGCUCCAGAGAGGCAGGGCUGGGGCCUGCCAAGAAGACUACAGGCAGUACCUGGCCAAGGUGGAACAGUAGGUGGAGAAGCAGAGGUGAGAGCUGAGGGAGGAUGAGAGUAACUGGCCAUGCAAGGUGCUCCUCAGCGUCAAACACUAGAUGCUUUCUUAGGUUGUCAUGUCUGCCUUUUUAUUACAUGUGGUUUGAUUGUUCUUACCAUUUUAAUGAACUUUUGUAUCAC